AGGCUGCCGCAAUUGCGACUGAGACCAACGAGAGAGCGCCGUCCACGCCCUGGGACCCUUCAAAACUUCCUUACAAACUCACAACGAUGCAGAGGCUCAUAUUGAAGGUGGUUAUACCGAAAGCUAGAGGAGCAGUUGCAGCACGAGAGACCGCGAAGUCUGCUGUGCUGCGCACCAUCCACCAGCUGCGCCUUGUGUGCCAGCAGCUGGGCCAGCGCAUGGUGCGCGAGGGACGGCUGCCCAGCGCCGACCUGCUUUUCUUCCUCACCUUCGAGGAGAUUGGCCUGCUGCUCAA